AAUUUACACAGUUUAAAAAAGUGUCACAUUCACAUAAUUGAGGAUAAGAGUAGAUUAAUAUACAUGCACACGAAAGUAAACAUAUAUAUUUAUAUACUCAUGACAAACAUACACAAAAUCAUAAAUAUGUUCUCUCACACGCAAACAUAUACAUUCUUUAUAUUUCUCCCCUUAGUAUAAUUAACGGAGAUUUUAUUAUUGUAAGGGAAAGGAGUGUGGGUCCUAUAUAUCAAUUUAUCCUUUCCUCAAUCCUCACCAAGAAACCACCCUUCAUCUUAGUAGUAAGGUAAGCUAUCAACACUGGUUCCUCCUCACCUUUUUCCACCACCGGAACCACUCUAAACCGCCGUAGAACUCCGGCGACCACCUUCUUCAUCUGCAAAAAUGCCAUCUCCUUCCCCAAACAAACCCUAGGUCCAGCUUGAAACACAGGAUACACAAACGGAUCCCUAGGAACAAAUCUCCAAUUUCCUGUCUUAACGUCCCUUUCCAACCACCUUUCUGGUCUAAAAGUCUGCCAAUCCUUCCCCCAUAUAGCCUCCGCUCUCCCCAUUGCGUACGGAUGAUAACUUAUUCUUGUUCCUCUCUUCACGAACGUUCCA
rnacentral:lncRNA from 1 species